UUCACCUUGGGGGACUCUGCUACUUUUUAUUACUUUUGUUUGUCCUUUUCACCUCUCCAUCUCUCCUCUUUUUUUCUUUUUUUUUUUCUUAAACUUGUUUUUUUCACUUUUUGAUCUCUAUAUAUCAACUUUUAGUUCCGCACUUCAAUUCUAUCACUCACCUAUACCAUUGUUAUUCUUCUUCGGGUGAAAUAGAUGAGAAGUUUGAAAGGAAGCCAUUUCUUUUGAGGGGAAUGUUGUCUGGCUCGAGGCCAUCAACUAGAUCUAUGGAUUUCUUUUUCAUAUAUCAAAAUUUGAGAGAUGAUGAUGAUUUAAUCAUUAAUCAUAGGUUAAUGACGUCGGACCAGGCUUCAUUCCCCCCAAUUAUUUGCUUCCAAUUUUGAUUAUGUUCUCUUGGUCUUUUGUUGGUAAAACAAGAAGUGGUGGGUGGUGGAUGAUAAGGAUGCUGGAGCUAUGUAAUCUCCGCCAUUUAUGUUUUGUUUUUAUGCUUGCUUUUAUCUCUGGUUAACUUUGGUACUUACUAAUACUAUACAUGCUGUUACUGGUUUAGAUCUGUAGUAUCCUUUGCAAGUUUCAAGGUUAAAUACAUGGAAUUCACUCCCUGGAUUGGAAGUAUUUGUAAGGAGAUUCUACAGUUCUUAGAAUUAUAAGCAACAUUUGAUGCUUA